rnacentral:rRNA from 1 species
CACGCAGUAAACGAUGAAUACUAGCUGUAUGCGAUAUACUGUAUGUGGCACAGCGAAAGCGUUAAGUAUUCCACCUGGGGAGUACGUUCGCAAGAAUGAAACUCAAAGGAAUUGACGGGGGCCCGCACAAGCGGAGGAACAUGUGGUUUAAUUCGAUGAUACGCGAGGAACCUUACCCGGGCUUGAAAUGCAUCUGACCGACUUGGAAACAGGUCUUCUAGCAAUAGCAGAUGUGUAGGUGC